rfam:Myotis lucifugus cont2.21030, whole genome shotgun sequence.
CUGUCUCUUGCUCCAAGUGUUUGGACGGAACAG